CUUUNCUUCUUCUUCUUCUUCUUCUUCUUCUUCAUCCUUCUUCUUCUUUCUUCUUCAUUCUUCAUUCUUCGUUCUUUCUUACUUUCUUCUUUCUUUCUCCAUGCCUCCAUCCAUUCAUUCAUACUUUCUUUCUUUCUUUCUUUCUUUCUUUCUUUCUUUCUUUCUUUCUUUCUUCUUUACUUCUUCAUUGCUUCUGUCUUCCUUUCUUUCUUUCUUUCUUUCUUUCUUUCUCUCUCUCUCUCUCUUUUUUCUUCCUUCCUUCCUUCCUUCCUUCCCUUUCUUUCUUUCUUUCUUUCUUUCUUUCUUUCUUUCUUUCUUUCUUUCUUUCUUCUUUUCUCUCUCUCUUUCUUUUUUCUUCCUUCCCUCCUUUUUUUUUAUUCUUUCUCCUUUUAUGCAUGUAUAUAGAGCAUUAUAGUUUACAAAACACUUUUACAUAGAGUACCUCAUUUGAUAACACUAUAUAAUGUUAUCACCAAUUGAUGAAUGAAGUGCAGAAAUGACAA
rnacentral:lncRNA from 1 species